rnacentral:rRNA from 1 species
AUUGAACGCUGGCGGCAUGCUUUACACAUGCAAGUCGGACGGCAGCACAGAGAAGCUUGCUUCUUGGGUGGCGAGUGGCGAACGGGUGAGUAACAUGUCGGAACGUACCGAGCAGUGGGGGAUAACUAAUCGAAAGAUUAGCAAAUACCGCAUAGUUUCUGAGGAAGAAAGCAGGGGACCAUUUGGCCUUGCGCUGUUUGAGCGGCCGGUAUCUGAUUAGCUAGUUGGUGGGGUAAAGGCCUACCAAGGCGACGAUCAGUAGCGGGUCUGAGAGGAUGAUCCGCCACACUGGGACUGAGACACGGCCCAGACUCCUACGGGAGGCAGCAGUGGGGAAUUUUGGACGAUGGGCGCAAGCCUGAUCCAGCCAUGCCGCGUGUCUGAAGAAGGCCUUCGGGUUGUAAAGGACUUUUGUCAGGGAAGAAAAGGGCGGGGUUAAUACCCCUGUCUGAUGACGGUACCUGAAGAAUAAGCACCGGCUAACUACGUGCCAGCAGCCGCGGUAAUACGUAGGGUGCGAGCGUUAAUCGGAAUUACUGGGCGUAAAGCGGGCGCAGACGGUUACUUAAGCAGGAUGUGAAAUCCCCGGGCUCAACCUGGGAACUGCGUUCUGAACUGGGUGACUAGAGUGUGUCAGAGGGAGGUAGAAUUCCACGUGUAGCAGUGAAAUGCGUAGAGAUGUGGAGGAAUACCGAUGGCGAAGGCAGCCUCCUGGGAUAAC